rnacentral:rRNA from 1 species
AUUGAACGCUGGCGGCAUGCCUUACACAUGCAAGUCGAACGGUAACAGGUUAAGCUGACGAGUGGCGAACGGGUGAGUAAUGUAUCGGAACGUGCCCAGUCGUGGGGGAUAACUACUCGAAAGAGUGGCUAAUACCGCAUACGACCUGAGGGUGAAAGCGGGGGACCGUAAGGCCUCGCGCGAUUGGAGCGGCCGAUAUGAGAUUAGCUAGUUGGUGGGGUAAAAGCCCACCAAGGAGACGAUCUGUAGCUGGUCUGAGAGGACGACCAGCCACACUGGUGCUGUGACACGGCCCAGAUUCCUACGGGAGGCAGAAGUGGGGAAUUUUGGACAAUGGACGCAAGUCUGAUCCAGCCAUGCCGCGUGCGGGAAGAAGGCAUUCGGGUUGUAAACCGCUUUUGUCAGGGAAGAAACGCUCUGGGUUAAUACCUCGGGGUAAUGACGGUACCUGAAGAAUAAGCACCGGCUAACUACGUGCCAGCAGCCGCCGUAACAC